rnacentral:rRNA from 1 species
AUACUCCUCUGCCGCCAUCCCUGCCCCCCGCGCCCAUUCGGACCUCGCCGGAACCCCGAGCCACCGGUGGGCAGACCAAACUGGUUCCGCCGUCUGUGUGCCGCAGAGCACCUCGCCGUUCCCUCCCCCGAGCGAAGUCCUCCCGAACGCCGUGCCACCGUGCCCUGAGCUUGCAAGGUCAAGAAAAGUAACCUUGCAUCCUUUGCCCCAAUCAGAAAUGGCCAUGAUCAAGAGGGUCCACGUUAAAAACUGAAAGCACAAGACAUGAUAUGUGCUUUGAUUAUCUUUCUCAUUCACCUUAGCAAAAGCAACGCAUCUUGGCAGAUGUGCAAAAGCAAAAGGAAAAAAAUUGUUUAUCCGCAUAUACAUAGCGGGAGGAAUACUUAUAUGGCCAAGGCUGCAGAGUAGUAGAUGGAGCCUAUGGGUUGGAAAAGAACCGGUUCCAAACCUGCGUAGCUAGAACUAGCUACGAAAGAGGUGAAGGAAAGAGCAAGAGUGUGGUGGAUAGUUGUGUCCAAGACACACUCCAUUGUGGGCUUAUGACCUACGUUUGUAUUUGGGAAAAAUUGAAUUUUCAAGUUUUUUUCUUUCUUUUUACCUGCAAAAAAAGAAUUUCCAAGUUUUUUUUUCUUCAUCUAGCUGGACGUAAGAUGAUUUUCCUUUCGACAUGCAUCUCCGAUGGUCGAGUUAUUAACGACUUAAUGUCGGGCCUGGAUGUCCCUGGUUGCUCCUGUAUGAGCUUCCUAGUUCUUGCGCUGUUAACAGAUAUGUGUACGUGCUGCAGGAAGGCGUACUAUCAUGAUGAACUAGAUCGGGCUCGUGCCUUGACGCGAGGGUGCCGGUCCCAACGUUUUGGUCAACC